rnacentral:rRNA from 1 species
AACGAACGCUGGCGGCAGGCUUAACACAUGCAAGUCGAACGGGUGUAGCAAUACACCAGUGGCAGACGGGUGAGUAACACGUGGGUGACCUGCCCUCAGCUCUGGGAUAAGCCCGGGAAACUGGGUCUAAUACUGGAUAUUACUCUGCGGUGCAUGCCGUGGGGUGGAAAGCCUUGUGCGGCUGGGGAUGGGCCCGCGGCCUAUCAGCUUGUUGGUGGGGUGAUGGCCUACCAAGGCGACGACGGGUAGCCGGCCUGAGAGGGCGACCGGCCACACUGGGACUGAGACACGGCCCAGACUCCUACGGGAGGCAGCAGUGGGGAAUCUUGCGCAAUGGGCGAAAGCCUGACGCAGCGACGCCGCGUGAGGGAUGACGGCCUGGUGUAACU